CCAAGAAAAAAUGUUUAGAAAUUGAUUAUCUCUUAUAAUUUCAACUACCAAACCUCAAAAGUUGACUACCAAACACCACCAAACGACCACCAAACGAUGUCAAAAGGAAUUUUCGAAAAAUAUAUAAAUGUGCAGUGCAGCCGUGAAGUUAGCACUGAAAAUUUAUAAUCGUUGUAACUUUCUUAAUUUUGACUACCAAACCUCCAAACUUGGAUACCAAACACCACCAAACGACCACCAAACGAUUCCAUACAACAAAAUCUAUUUUCCUUAUAUUGGCAGUGCCAACUUCACGGAGCUGAUAUAUGUCAAAAAAAAAAAAAAACACAAAACCUUAUAAAUCUCUAAAUAAUCGAAAUUUAAAACAUCAUGUAUUUUCUGAUAAAAGAAAAUUAGAAAUAAAAGCAAUAACAGUUCACCAAAUAUUAAAUAAUGAAAAAAAGCAAUAAAUAUAUAUAUACGCAAAACACGACAGCAGACAAUUGUAGGGUUUGUGUAAAUAAAAGAAAGUUGUAACUCACCUAAUUGUCUCUUUGGAACUUGAAAAUAACGACUUAUCGCUCCUGCCA